ensembl:snRNA U6 U6 spliceosomal RNA
AUGCCGGCUGAGGCAGCACAUAUACUAAAAUUGGAAUGAUACAGGGAAGAUUAGCACAGUCUCUGCACAAGGAUGACACAAUCGUUCAUGAAGCAUUUCAUAUUUUA